rnacentral:misc_RNA from 1 species
CCGAGUUUUGGGUCUCUUCACCGAGCCCACUCUCCAACCCUUUGUGUACCUACCUCUGUUGCUUUGGCGGGCCGCGGUUCUCCGCGGCCGGCCCCCUAGCCGGGGCUGGCCUGCGCCCGCCAGAGGACCACAAAACUCCAGUCAGUGAACUUUGCUGUCUGAUAUAAAUUCAAUAAACUA